CUGUCUCCUCAAUGUGGAUCCUCCUGCUGUAAAAACCAGCAUUGACCAGCAUGAAUUCCCUUUCACUCACUGUUUCCCAACCUGCAGUCGGUUCAGCACGAAACAUCAGGCUCACAGCAACAGAUUAAGAAGAAUCCUGCAUCAAAAGAUGACUUCAACUUGCAUGUGAGACAGAGUGAGAAGAGAAAAAGAGGAAUGAAGAUGGACUGUCUAAGAAACCUAAUGCUGAAGGCGAGCAGAAAUGAGAAAAGCUAUGCUACAGCUCUCUGUUUGCAGCACGUCAGUCACGCUCGUCGGGAAAGUUACCAUAGUCAGCUGGAUCCCCUCCAAAUCCAGAUCAGAUGGUGGACCUGCAUCUUGGCAUGACCACGACGCAAGCCUAAAUCGGCAAAGAUCGUCAGCAAAGACCACAAGAACCAGACAAGUCCUCUGCACAGACCCCUACGGCUAGCUUCAACUCUAUGCCGGCGUGUUGUAUCUUGAUCUUCAAACUGAUGGAACCAUAUGAAAUAUUCUAGAUUAUACCAAUCCACAAUCUGACUUGUGUUGCUGCCUGAAUCACAUCACACCAUAUUCGCUCAUUGGCCAGAGGAGAACUGGUACCUGACUGAGCCUGGUUUCUCCCAAGGUUUUUUUUUCUUCUCCAUUUUUGUAACCUGAUGGAUUUUGGGUUCCUUACCCCUGUUGCCUUUGGCUUGCUAAGUUUGGGACACUUAAUAUUCAGCAAUAAUAUUGAUUUGAUUGCACUGACACUAUCAUAUGAGAACUGAACUGAGCUGGACGAUGACAUCACUGUUUUUUGCAGAGCUGCUUUAUAACAAAUUGAACUGAUUUCAUAAUUGAUUAACUUUAUACAGCUAUUGAACAGAACUGAAUUAAAACAUACUGACUUCAGCUGAACAAUGACACUAUUUCUUUUAGAGCUGCUUUACAGCAGAAUUGAACUGGAAUAAUUGAAUCAUUCUCCUGUUUAUACCUGUAAAGCUGCUUUGAAACAGUCUAUAAAGUGUUAAAUUAAAGGUGACUUGACUUUUGAAAUA